rnacentral:rRNA from 1 species
UACGGAGGGGGCUAGCGUUGUUCGGAAUUACUGGGCGUAAAGCGCACGUAGGCGGCUUUGUAAGUUAGAGGUGAAAGCCCGGGGCUCAACUCCGGAAUUGCCUUUAAGACUGCAUCGCUAGAAUUGUGGAGAGGUAAGUGGAAUUCCGAGUGUAGAGGUGAAAUUCGUAGAUAUUGGGAAGAACACCGGUGGCGAAGGCGGCUCGCUGGGACGGUACUGACGGCUGAGA